rnacentral:rRNA from 1 species
CAGUCGCCGCGGUAAUACGGAGGGCGCGAGCGUUACCCGGAUUUACUGGGCGUAAAGGGCGUGUAGGCGGCCUGGGGCGUCCCAUGUGAAAGGCCACGGCUCAACCGUGGAGGAGCGUGGGAUACGCUCAGGCUAGAGGGUGGGAGAGGGUGGUGGAAUUCCCGGAGUAGCAGUGAAAUGCGCAGAUACCGGGAGGAACGCCGAUGGCGAAGGCAGCCACCUGGUCCACUUCUGACGCUGAGGCGCGAAAGCGUGGGGAGCAAACCGGAUUAGAGACCCCUGUAGUCCCUGUCUCUUAUAC